UGGGAGCCUCAGGUAACAGAAGCCAUGGGU
rnacentral:piRNA from 1 species